UACAGAGGUCCCGAGCGUUGUUCGGAUUCACUGGGCGUAAAGGGUGCGUAGGUGGUGAGGUAAGUCGGAUGUGAAAUCUCCGGGCUUAACCCGGAAAUGGCAUUGGAAACUACCUUGCUAGAGGAUUUGAGGGGGGGAUUGGAAUACUUUGGUGUAGCAGUGAAAAUGCGUAGAUAUCAAGUGGAACACCAGUGGCGAAGGCGAAUCCCUGGAAAAUACCUGACACUGAGGCACGAAAAGCUAGGGGGAGCAAACAGG
rnacentral:rRNA from 1 species